AAAAAACCUAAAAAUGCUUCUUCGUGAAAGCAAACACGACUUAUUCAGAAACGCUUAUUCAGAGAAGCACUUUUUCUCACGCGCGUUGGCUCAAGUUUUCUCGGUUUUUCUUGUGCAACACUCUCUCAAACUCACGCUCUCUCCCUCCCAAUUCUUACACAACAACAACAAUUACGACGCAGAUUCUCUUAGUCUCGAAUUGGUUGGAUUUGGAUUUCAGAACUGAUUCGAAUUGUUAUCGACUCGCGUUGGGGUUCAGAAUCUGUUUGCGCUCGAAAUUUCAACUCAGAGCAGUUUGAGUUAAAGUUACAGCAAUCAUACGAUAUCAUAAAGCUGAGAAUGGAGGAAUGUUUACCGGUUGAAGCGACGACCAGAAGAAAAUGCAGCUUUCGAUCUUGCUCACAAGCCUAUACUCAAAUGUUCUUUUAUGCUAUCGUUCAAAAAGGUUGUCUUCCUUGGUCUACAAACAAGAAAUAAAGUGGUAAGAGUGGAGAAGAGUCUCAACUAUCUCACCAGUUCAGCCGUUUGAAUCAUGUCAUGAUGGUCUGUUGAGCGAAGUGCCUUAUAGAUGACAUUUGAUUCUUUGAAGGCAUCUGCUUCAAUGGCUAUGACAUUUCCCGACGCUCCUGCCCAGAAAGGUUACUAAUUUUCCCAAGAAUCUCUUAAAUGGAGCUCAUGAGAUUACAUGAGACAUUAUUAGAAAGUAAAUCAACUGCUGGAAGAGUGUGAAGGUUGUUGGUUAUAGAGGAGAAAUGCUGAUUUUGGAACUGUAUGGAUAGAUCACAGGUUAUGACGUGAUUGAUUGAUAUCAUGCUACAAAAUUAUCAAAUCAAGUGGUAAUGGCAAAAACUUAAUCUGCUACAAAAUUGUCUGCCUGAAAUCUUGUGGACUGUGUAAAGCAGGGGAUGCCUUGGACUAUUCAGCAACUGUUUUACACCAUUUUGGUGGUGGGCAAAGAUUAGGUCCAGGGGUAGAACUCUCUAGGCUAGAGCUCUCUAUUUUUCUUCACCAGCUAGUUACUACUUCCAGGUGUCUGAAAUGCAUGGAAUUGAAGCUUCCUUGUGAAGGUUUUGUCAGGUGUUCUACUGUUAGUUGUUUGAAGGUCCGUUAUUUUGGUUAUUGAAUCUUUAUAUUAUAGGUAAGUAUGAAAUGAAAUACCCGUGGGGGAUAGAUUCUAUAUGAGCUUUGAUCUGGUGAAUUUUCCGAUCUAUGUGAAAAGUACGGGUAAUAUUUUUCGAAUUAAUAUGCAUGUGUGAGUUUGAAAAUUACAUUGUUUUCUUUUCUUUUCCCAUUUCAAAUGUUAUACACGGUCAAACCUGUGUAACGGGACAAAUCGUCGAUUUACUGGUUUUUUAUGCUCCAUGAAUUGAUUCUGUUAAUUUAUAACCCUUCUGUUAUAAAUAUCAAUAACAAAAGUGAUGCUUCUAUAUGUUAAAAUACAACUGUUAUUUUUUUGGUUCUUUAACCACAAAUAUUAGUGAAGUGUCAAUGGACGUCAACUAUUGUGAUGCUUUGAAUUGGAUAUCUUUGAAGGUGAGUUCAUUCUUCAUUCAACUGUAUCCCUGUAGUGUUGUAGAAAAUGAUUUCCACUACAAACUUGAUGGAUUGGACUCAAUUUUGACAAUUAUUGGAGUAUGGUUUAUUUCAUAUAUCUAAUAACCCGAGGCUUGUUAGUAUUGGCCAAUUAUGGUUAGACUUCAUUAAAACUGUUAGUGACCCAUUUCUUACAUCCAAAGGUACUUUUUUUCAAAAUGCCAAUUCUUUAAGCAAGUUAUGCUGUGAGAUGUCAUAGUUUCAUGAUCUUGCUUCAUGGUGUAAGAGUGUACAAAACAGUUUCAAUGAACUUGCUUUCGGAAACUCGAAAGUUCACCGUGCCAAAUAACAUGAAGUUGCUUUCGGUUCCUUUGAGCUGCUGAUAUUGGAUGCCAUUUGAUUUUAGCCUUUUAGAGGUGGGGGCUGCAGUCUGUAUGUUGAAUAUGUGGCUUCAUUGGGAUUAAAUUGACUUUUAUGUGAUGUUUUGAAUGUUAAUGGUUUAAUUUUUUUAGUGUUAUUUUGAAUAAAAUACAGUUUCAAAGUAUCAAAAAAUUUAGUCAAUUUUUUUUUAAUUUUCAAAAUAUAUUAGUUGUGGAUUUCGCGUCCUGCAGAUUUACCUGCGAAUGUUCAAAACCCAUGAAGGUUUUAGCUAUUGACGAAACGCCGCAGGAAAAACCGCAGGAAAUUAGUUUGCUGCGGAUUUUUUACUCAUUUUCGCAGGUAAAUCCGCAUGAAAAUAGAGUAAUAGUGUAUAGUUUCCUUAUCUUCUUUGUUAAUCAUAAUUUCAUAAUCCAAAAUUUGUAAACCUUUACCUUCCAUGGAUGAAUAACGAAUACCAUAACAAGGAAAGGAUAGAUAGCAGCCAGACCACAGUAUUAUCCAGUAACAUUUGUUGAAAAUAUUAACAGUUUCAUAGCAUGUCUUAGUCCCAAAAUAGUUGCAUUUAACAAGGGCGUAUCUUAGGUUGUAUUGCACAAAUAAGAAAAAGAAUGAGAACAAAAUUCAUUAUAUUUUGAUCGACAAUGACAAUAACACAAGAUAUAAAGUUCAAGAUAAAUUUGGCAUAUUACGUCAUUUGGAUCCAAUAGCGAAAGGAUCAAGCUUUGACUCAUUAGUGGUUCCCAAAUCCACUGACUGCGAAGUUCUCCUUGUCUCAUCUGAACCAGAAAAUGUGUAGUGAACCUGAGGUGCAACUCCUAAUUACUUCGUCAAUAAAUUAGAAAGCUACUUCUAACUUAAAAGCACAAGGCCCUUGAACUUCAAUAUAACAUAAGAUGAAUAUGGAAGCUGGGAGAAAAAUUUGCAUGGAUACGCACAUAAUUCAUUAGUGUUAGGAACAAUCAAUAAAAAAAGAGAAUUUUUUAAAUUUAUUUAAAAUUUGAAUUCUUUUUUAAUUGGAUUCAUGGGGUGGUUGUGAUUGGAAGCUGGUGUUCAAUCUGUUAAAAUUCUUAUUAAAGGGAAAGACAUAGUCAACGGCUCAACUGAGUUCUUAGUUUUGCUUACAUCACCACCAUCAUUAGAUCCAGUUGGAACUUUCCACCCAAAAGAAGAUGAUAUUUCUGCAAUAAAAGAUGAAAGGCAAGAUCUGACUGUUCUCAAGCUCUACCAUCGGAAAACGAGAUCGUGCCCUAAAAAACAGCUUUGGAAAAUGAAAGUGGAAGAAUUGAGCGACUGGUAUCAACUAAAACAUCAACCCGUACAUUGGAAUGCACAUCCAAUCUCGGCACUCUUGAGAGGCUAUACCACUCUGCACACAUUGAAUUCACUCCAAGAACUAUUACAAUCCUGCUCUUCACCAUCUAGAAUAGAUGACAGCCAAAUAUAACACUUUCAUCAUCCAAUUUAGGGAACUCACAUGCAACGCUACUAUCAAUGCUGCAAGUUACACAGCAAUUCAACACUGAAUAUAUUAAAGCAGUAGCAUCUGAUACUAUGAUUGUCUGUAUAAGGUCAAAAGCAGAGGACUGUGAAGUCAGGAGUCCUUCAAAGAUGAGACGAGCGAGGGUUCCCUGUCCAACACAAAGGUUGCCGUAUGAUGGGAUUCAUUCAUAUUAUAAAUGCAGUAGUUGUAUAUGUGGGAAUUUGACCUGCAUGCCACCCCUUUGAAUUUUUAAUCCCAAUAUGUCACCCUCCCAAAAUUUUGUCCCAAAAUGCCACCCUUUUGUACCUUUUUUCCACUUUUUGCCAGACUGCAUUUUUUUUUUGCGUGCAAAGCAGGUGCCCGCCAUUUUGAAUGGAGGCCAUGUG